ACAAAUCUAGAAGGUCUUCAAGACCUCUCUAACAUUUGUGAAUCGUUUAUUGUCUCUGGCGAGCUUGCUCGCCAAUUAAACUUUGUAUUAAACUACAGUCUAUAAAAGCUUUUUAUUUAAUUAAAA
rnacentral:misc_RNA from 1 species